CGUGCCAGCAGCCGCGGUAAUACGGAGGAUGCGAGCGUUAUCCGGAAUCAUUGGGUUUAAAGGGUCUGUAGGCGGGCUAAUAAGUCAGAGGUGAAAGCGCUCAGCUCAACUGAGCAACUGCCUUUGAAACUGUUAGUCUUGAAUUAUUGUGAAGUAGUUGGAAUGUGUAGUGUAGCGGUGAAAUGCUUAGAUAUUACACAGAACACCGAUGGCGAAGGCAUAUUACUAACAAUUGAUUGACGCUGAUGGACGAAAGCGUGGGGAGCGAACAGGAUUAGAUACCCUGGUAGUCCACGCCGUAAACGAUG
rnacentral:rRNA from 1 species